UCGGACGCUCAGGUGAUGACGUGUUUAGUGAUAAAUGAACUACGUCAUCAGCGCCGCUGAAAACGUUACGUGGAAACCGCUCCAACGUUUCCUACAAAAGAAACCAAAAACCCAGCAAAUGCGUGACUUCAGAGGCUGCUCCAGUUUACUGACGUGUGUCCUGUUUAAAGAAGAGCGACAAAUAGAGACUUUUAUUGUUCUACAAACGGACAAUCAGACAUUAGAUAAAGUUGAAUUAUUGAGAUGAAAGUGAAGUUUAACUACAUGACAAAUGUGCAGCAUAAUCAAGAAACGACCAGAAGGACGGGGGAAGUUGUCAUUUCACACAUGAACGCGAGCGCUCGCAGCCGCUUCAGGACACAUUUUAGCCAAAGAGGACGAUUCAAGUGGACGUGAUGAGCAAUGUGAAGGGAUGAGAUCUAAAGCCGAACCCGGACUGCUCAUUGACGAUAAAGCCUCUCGCAUCCUCGUUGUUUAAGGACAAUACCGCCUGUAUUUAUUCAAUUUGAUCAUUCGAGUGAGUUUGUUAACAAAAAUAAAUAUAUAAGUUGAAAAUA